AUGCGUGGAGGGGUCGCGACAGUAGAUGGCGAGGUCGGACACGGCGGGAAAGUAGGUGGCGAGGCGCGUCGCAACGAAGGCGUUCCGUUUGGCGAUCUCUUUCGGGUGGAGCGGGAGGUGGUUGGAAGAGGAGGAGGCGGGCGCCCCCACGAUUCGCGAGGCCAAGGAGAACAGCCGGUGGCCCUACAGCAAGGCCAGCGAGAGGUAAGUCGCUCGAGUGUCGGGAAGCAGAAGGUUGGCGAGAGCAGUAGGAAGUCAGGCGUCAUCGGGUCCCCGUGGAGCGCCAUCGCGACCCGCGUUGCCCGCUCCGCCGCCAGCAGCCUACGGCACACAAUCGCCCAUGAAGCCUAG
rnacentral:rRNA from 1 species